ACGCUUGUAGCUCAACGGAUAGAGUAAUAGAUUUCGAAUCUAUUGGUGAAAGUUCGAUUCUUUCCAAGCGU
rnacentral:tRNA from 1 species